GAGCAUUUAUAGUGAAUAUUGGUGACAUGCUAGAGCGCUGGAGCAAUUGUAUUUUCAGGUCCACGUUGCAUCGAGUGGUGGGUAAUGGUCAGGAGAGAUAUUCUAUUGCAUACUUUGUGGAGCCUAAUCACGAUUGUCUUGUUGAAUGCUUGCCCACCUGCCAGUCACAAGAGAACCCUCCCAAGUAAGUAUCAAUUGAACACGGAUAAACUGUUCAUACCUGCAUUGAUCUAAGUAUGAACACAUGUUAACCAUUGAUAACUGCAACUGAUCUGAGUACGUAUGAUCACAGAUGAACUAUCACCCACACAAUGACGUGAGGACCAUUAACGUCAUCAUUACGUGCAACAUAUGUGGACAAGUGGGAACCUCUAAUUGUAAUCCAAAACAAUGGUUGGAUCACCCUUCCUUUGGACACCCCAUUCUCGAAUUUAAAUUUUGUUGAUUUUCUUUGAAUACCCCAAUUAAUUCCCACCAUACCUGCACCCCCACCCAUCCAACCUAUUGG